GACCACAAGUUAGCUGCUCGCCUCGCGGAGCUUUCUGUCGCCUUCCAAGUACAGGCUGAGGCGCGGCCGCUGCCGGAGGGUGGAGACUAUUGCUAAGCCCUUUAUGAGUCCUGUCCUGAUAUAGCGCCCCACCCUUCCAGAACCUAUAAAAUGAGGACAAAACCAUGAGGUACGAAAAAGCAAAACACACAAAAUGCUGGAGGAACGCAGCGGGCGGGACCAUAUCUGCGGCAAUGAACAAACAGUCGACUUUUCAGGUCGAAGCUCUUCCUCACCACAUACCUAUACAGAUGCCUGAGAUGCUGCAGUUGUACCAACCUUGAUCACUCAAUCUGGCAGCUCAUUCCAGGUCCUCCUUGGGUUAUAAACAUCUUACUCGUGUACAGUCUGCACACACAAAGGAGCACUUGGGAGGCUGAUUGGAUGGAUCGCGAUGGAUUUGCUACCAUCUGGGGGCUGCAGGCAUCUUCUGCCAGCUGAGAACAGGGCAAUUCCGUGUGCCUUCUAUCUCUCCCUCUCCUCAUCGCAGCUGCCACCUUGAGGGGCUGGGUGUAGAGAAGCGGGGCUGGGAGCACAGGGCAGAAUCACUCACUGAGACAGUAAGGCUGGCUGCUGGCCACUCUCCCUGUGCCUGCCUGCUCUCCCAUCAUUGUUUCAGUGAUCCUAUCCCACACGCUCUUGUUCAUUUCCAAAUUAGAAUAGUUCAGGUUAUGAAUUGUCAGGAGCCUUUUGUAACCCUGCUGAUUUCCUGUAAAUAUAAAAGUUCUUGUAUUCUAUGUGUCUUGACAAUAAAUUCUCAAGUACAACUUCUGAUGUGAGGAAGCAUUUCAGCUACAUAGAAAGUGACAUAUCAGUAUUCUGCUGACUGACGGAAAUACCAGUUAUCCUGGCUGAAAGCCAAUCUAAUGUUUGUCAUUGUGUUUGUCUCUAAUAUUUUCAUGAGGAUAUGUUAGAACGAACUUCUUCUGUCUUGGCACUGAAACAUGUAUGUCAUCUAUCAAUAUUCAUGCAAUUUUAUAGUUCACAUUGUCAGACAACAGCUCAUUGACAGUGUUUCAGCUACAGUACAUGACUAUUGAACGGAAGUUUGUUGUAGCAGGCCAAGCAGUUCGGCCAAGUUCAUUGAGCACUCUUUACUUCAAAUAUUUUGUCAGAGCAUCAUAUCAUAAAAGCAGGAUUAAACCAUAUAGUUCCUCAAGCCUAGUUCACCAUUUAAUCAGAUCAUUACUGAUCCUAGACUUCUUUUCUGCCAAAUUCCUAUUUCCCCUGAAUGAAUAGAUUUCCAAAGAUAAAUUGAUCUCAGUCACAAAUAUACUCAAGUCUGAAUACUUACAACUAUCUAAGAAAUUGCUUCACAUUGAUGGAGUGAAUAUGGGUGAAGACCUUGUUGUUUACCAGUUUGUUUUUAAACAUCAAAAGGAAAAUGUGGAAGAUACUGAAAAUAUGAAAUGACAGAAAAUUUGAGAAGCGCUCAUUGGGUCUAUUUGUUUAUGAUUUAAACAAAAUGAAUUUAGGUAACUGAAACAUUAACCUUUCUCCACAGGUGUUGACCCACAUGCUGAAUAUUUCCAGAACUUUAUGCUUGUUAUUUCCUUUUCUAUCUUAACUCAAAAUCAGGUUCUUCAUUAGCCAUCUCUAAUUAUAUUUAAUUUCAUAAACCAAUCCUGAAAAGUCAAUCUCAUAACAUGAGGCUAUGCCUCAAGCUCACUAAUCUGAAUAAACAACUUUUUAAGAACCUAGCUUCUCAAUUUGUCUUCAGAAUAUUUAACCCAUUACUUGGAGGAAAUGAGUUGGUGAUGUUUGGUGUAGUCCACAGGGUAACUAAGUAUAUUUCAGAACCAAUAAAGUAUCCCUUUAGCUAAUGAGAAUUAAAGUUUGAGAUAGAAAAAUAAGAAUGAUAGAGAAUGAUGAUUGAUUACAGCAGGAGGAUAAGAAUUUCCCAUGCCUAACUUCAAAAAAUGUAUUUAAAUUCAGGAAUGAAACCGAUAAAGUGUUUCUUUUCAGACCAAAGUGAUAGCCAAUUAAUAGCAAAUUCAGCAAAUUGUUAACUAUAACAGUAAGACUGAAGAUGAGGUGCCAAUUGCACAAAGCAAGUAACAGAGCAAUGAUGAAUUAAUCAACAAACUUGGGAAUUCACAGUUUACAGGAUAAUCUCUGGGUAGUAAAUGGCAACAUAUAUGUAUUUU